rnacentral:rRNA from 1 species
GACGAACGCUGGCGGCGUGCUUAACACAUGCAAGUCGAACGGAAAGGCCCUGCUUUUGUGGGGUGCUCGAGUGGCGAACGGGUGAGUAACACGUGAGUAACCUGCCCUUGACUUUGGGAUAACUUCAGGAAACUGGGGCUAAUACCGGAUAGGAGCUCCUGCUGCAUGGUGGGGGUUGGAAAGUUUCGGCGGUUGGGGAUGGACUCGCGGCUUAUCAGCUUGUUGGUGGGGUAGUGGCUUACCAAGGCUUUGACGGGUAGCCGGCCUGAGAGGGUGACCGGCCACAGGGGGACUGAGAGAGGGCCGAGACUCCUGGGGGAGGAAGCAGGGGGGAAUAUUGAAAAAGGGGGGGAAGCUGGAGGCAGAAGCGCCGGGGGCGGGAGGAGGGCCUGCGGUUGGAAAACCGGUUGCGCUGGUGAGGAAGGGGGAGGGAGGGAAAGGGAAAAAAAAGCCCGGGCAAACUCCGUG